CCGAAGGAGGCCGUGGGGCUCUGCAAGGCGCAGAUCACUGCCAUCAUCUCUCAGCAAGGUGACAUAUUUGUUUUUGACCUGGAGACCUCAGCUGUCGCUCCCUUUGUUUGGUUGGAUGUAGGAAGCAUCCCAGGGAGAUUUAGUGACAAUGGUUUCCUCAUGACUGAGAAGACACGAACUAUAUUAUUUUACCCUUGGGAGCCCACCAGCAAGAAUGAGUUGGAGCAAUCUUUUCAUGUGACCUCCUUAACAGAUAUUUACUGAAGGAAUCUAGGUUGUAUUUUCAGUGGACAAUGGGAAUAAAGCAUUUCUAAAGCACCGACUGGAGAGGAAGGCAACAGAGACAAGGAGAGAAGCCGAGAGACAUGUCUGCGUGCUGCCACGCAUUUGAGCGAUUGCUCUGUGAAGAGUUGUACACUGAACACUUUCAGGGGAGGCUGUUUACCCAGGCAAUGUCCUCAAACAAGCCUGUGCCGGGGUGUCCUGGAAUCUGUGCCAGGACUGUGUUUUUAGCCCUUCACCUCUCAGCUUUAGCAGGACAUGAACCAGUUAUAACAAGAUGGCCCUGCAGCUGGUUACAAGAAUGUGACAUGGCAGGAUCUAUGGAACCAAAUGGAAGGUUUUGAGGUGAUGUAGGUCUUUCACAGCUAGCUUUGGGGAAUACGGAAUACUCAAAUAAAGUGCUUUGUUAUUAUUUCAGAGGGAAUGGCGAUUGAAAUGUUACAACAGAGAUUUCUUGGUGGUAGCUAUUUGGGUAAAGGUAUAUGGGUAUUUUUCUGUACAUGUGAAAUUAUAUAAAAAUAAAAGUUAUAUAAAUUACAUUGA
rnacentral:lncRNA from 1 species